rnacentral:rRNA from 1 species
ACGAACGCUGGCGGCGUGCUUAACACAUGCAAGUCGAACGGAAAGGCCCCUUUGGGGGUACUCGAGUGGCGAACGGGUGAGUAACACGUGAGUAACCUGCCCUUGACUUCGGGAUAACUUCAGGAAACUGGGGCUAAUACCGGAUAGGAAUCCUUGCUGCAUGAUGGGGGUUGGAAAGCUUCGGCGGUUUUGGAUGGACUCGCGGCUUAUCAGCUUGUUGGUGGGGUAGUGGCUUACCAAGGCUUUGACGGGUAGCCGGCCUGAGAGGGCGACCGGCCACAUUGGGACUGAGAUACGGCCCAGACUCCUACGGGAGGCAGCAGUGGGGAAUAUUGCACAAUGGGCGGAAGCCUGAUGCAGCAACGCCGCGUGCGGGAUGACGGCCUUCGGGUUGUAAACCGCUUUCAGCAGGGGCGAAGCUUGUGGUGACGGUACCUGCAGAAGAAGCACCGGCUAACUACGUG